AUAUUAUACAUUCCAGAUCUAAUUCAAAGCUGUAGUAUUCAAAACAGUAUGUUAUUGGCACAAAAAUAGACAUAUAGACAAUG